UAUAGGUUUGGUCCCAGCCUUCCUGUUAACUUUCAAUAGACUUAUACAUGCAAGCAUCCACGCCCCGGUGAGUAACGCCCUUCGAAUCACACAGGACUAAAAGGAGCAGGUAUCAAGCACACACUCUUGUAGCUCACAACGCCUUGCUUAACCACACCCCCACGGGAGACAGCAGUAACAAAAAUUAAGCCAUAAACGAAAGUUUGACUAAGCCAUAUUGACCAGGGUUGGUAAAUCUCGUGCCAGCCACCGCGGUCAUACGAUUGACCCAAGCUAACAGGAGUACGGCGUAAAGCGUGUUAAAGCAUCAUACUAAAUAGAGUUAAAUUUUAAUUAAACUGUAAAAAGCCAUAAUUAUAACAAAAAUAAAUGACGAAAGUAACCCUACAAUAGCUGAUACACCAUAGCUAAGACCCAAACUGGGAUUAGAUACCCCACUAUGCUUAGCCUUAAACACAAAUAAUUAU
rnacentral:rRNA from 1 species